rnacentral:rRNA from 1 species
GUACUCCGGGGAUAACAGGCUGAUACCGCCCAAGAGUUCAUAUCGACGGCGGUGUUUGGCACCUCGAUGUCGGCUCAUCACAUCCUGGGGCUGAAGUAGGUCCCAAGGGUAUGGCUGUUCGCCAUUUAAAGUGGUACGCGAGCUGGGUUUAGAACGUCGUGAGACAGUUCGGUCCCUAUCUGCCGUGGGCGCUGGAGAAUUGAGGGGGGCUGCUCCUAGUACGAGAGGACCGGAGUGGACGCAUCACUGGUGUUCGGGUUGUCAUGCCAAUGGCACUGCCCGGUAGCUAAAUGCGGAAGAGAUAAGUGCUGAAAGCAUCUAAGCACGAAACUUGCCCCGAGAUGAGUUCUCCCUGAGACUUUAAGUCUCCUGAAGGAACGUUAAAGACGAUGACGUUGAUAGGCCGGGUGUGUAAGCGCAGCGAUGCGUUGAGCUAACCGGUACUAAUGAACCGUGAGGCUUAACCUUAC